rnacentral:rRNA from 1 species
UACUACCGGCCAUACCACGUUGAAAAAACCGGUUCUCGUCUGAUAACCGAAGUUUAGCAACGUUGGGUUUGGUUAGUACGAGCGUACUCGCCGAUUUCUAAAAUCAUAUAUUAC